ACAGAGGGGGCAAGCGUUGUUCGGAAUUACUGGGCGUAAAGGGCGCGUAGGCGGCCUGCUAAGUCGAACGUGAAAUCCCUGGGCUCAACCCAGGAACUGCGUCCGAUACUGGUUGGCUUGAAUCCGGGAGAGGGAUGUGGAAUUCCAGGUGUAGCGGUGAAAUGCGUAGAUAUCUGGAGGAACACCGGUGGCGAAGGCGGGUCUCUGGGCCGUAACUGACGCUGAGGAGCGAAAGCAUGGGGAGCGAACAGGA
rnacentral:rRNA from 1 species